rnacentral:rRNA from 1 species
UACGGAGGAGGCAAGCGUUAUCCGGAAUUAUUGGGCGUAAAGCGUCCGCAGGUGGCUAUUCAAGUCUGCGGUCAAAGACUGGGGCUUAACCCUGGAAAGGCCGUGGAAACUGAAGAGCUAGAGUGCAGUAGGGGUAGAGGGAAUUCCCGGUGUAGCGGUGAAAUGCGUAGAGCUCGGGAAGAACAUCGGUGGCGAAAGCGCUCUGCUGGACUGCAACUGACACUCAGGGACGAAAGCUGGGGGAGCGAAUGGG